UACAGGGGGUGCAAACGUUGCUCGGAAUUAUUGGGCGUAAAGGGUGCGUAGGUGGUGAGGUAAGUCGGAUGUGAAAGCUCGGAGCUCAACUCCGAAAUGGCAUUGGAAACUACCUUGCUCGAGGGUUGGAGGGGGGACUGGAAUGCUUGGUGUAGCAGUGAAAUGCGUAGAUAUCAAGCGGAACACCAGUGGCGAAGGCGAGUCCCUGGACAACUCCUGACACUGAGGCACGAAAGCUAGGGGAGCAAACAGG
rnacentral:rRNA from 1 species